GAAAAAUGCAACUAAAGGAAGAAUACCGAACUCUAACGAAACAAAAAAGCGGAAAAGGUCUACAAUGGAGACUGUCUCUGCCAAGAAGCAAAGCAAGCAUGUCCAGCAGACAUCAGAGGAGGAUAGUGAUGGAGGUGGUGAAAAUGGCUCUGAAGAUGGCCAGUCUGACUCAUCCAAUGAAAAACCUGUGAAGAAGGAAGUUUCAACUCCUGUCUAUGGUAAGCGUGUGGAGCACUUGAAAUCGGUUAUCAAAUCGUGUGGGAUGAGUGUUCCUCCAGCGAUUUAUAAGAAAGUCAAGCAGGCACCUGAAAGCAAACGUG
rnacentral:misc_RNA from 1 species